UAGGGAAUCUUCGGCAAUGGACGGAAGUCUGACCGAGCAACGCCGCGUGAGUGUAGAAGGUUUUCGGAUCGUAAAGCUCUGUUGUCAGAGAAGAACGUUGGUAGGAGUGGAAAAUCUACCAAGUGACGGUAACUAACCAGCAAGGGACGGCUAUCUACGUGCCUGCAGCCGCGGUAAUACGUAGGUCCCGAGCGUUGUCCGGAUUUAUUGGGCGUAAAGCGAGCGCAGGCGGUUCUUUAAGUCUGAAGUUAAAGGCAGUGGCUUAACCAUUGUACGCUUUGGAAACUGGAGGACUUGGGUGCAGAACGGGAGAGUAGAUUUCCAUGUGUAGCCGUGAGAUGAGUGGAUAUAUGGAGGAACACCGGUGGCGGAAGCGGCUCUCUAGUGUAAAACAGUCGAAGAGGCUCGAAAGGGUGGGGAGGAAACAGG
rnacentral:rRNA from 1 species